rnacentral:misc_RNA from 1 species
GAUGAAGAACGUAGCGAAAUGCGAGAAGUAAUGUGAAUUGCAGAAUUCAGUGAAUCAUCGAAUCUUUGAACGCACAUUGCGCCCCUUGGUAUUCCGAGGGGCAUGCCUGUUCGAGCGUCAUUAUAACCCUCAAGCUCAGCUUGGUGUUGGGGCCUGCUGCACUGGCAGCCCUUAAAAUCAGUGGCGGCGCCAUCUGGCUCUAAGCGUAGUAAUUCUUCUCGCUAUGGAGUCCUGGUGGAUGCUUGCCAUCAACCCCCAAUUUUUCUAUGGUUGACCUCGGAUCAGGUAGGGAUACCCGCUGAACUUAAGCAUAUCCAUAAGCGGAGGA